UUACCUCGCAAACUACCCAAAAGACCUGCGGCCCAACACGCAGGCCGAACCGUCGUAUUUGGGUAUUUCUUCCCAAAACGUCAACGGCCUGCGCUCCCCCUUGGUUCCUGCUUGGUGAUUGCACAGCUCCUUCCUGCCAAAGCUUCUCUUCGUACACCCAGGACCAGGGCUGGGGUCACGUGACAGCUCCUGUCUCCUGAUGCUGGGCGGUGGCAAGUGCUCGCAGCGGUUACUAACAGAUAAGAAGAAACACUCACGUGGGACCUGUACAGAAAUGCUGGAACAGAAACAGAAUGAAGCAGAAGAUGUAUAUUAAGAUGAAAAGCACACUUCAGAACAAACUUUUACAUAAUUGCUUUGACUCUCAAAGAGACUAAAGAAAUUAUGAGCUCUUCAAAACAAGAAAAGACCAUGUCAGAUAACCCUAACUCUAUCUCUGACCCAUCAUAUAAUAUUGAC